rnacentral:rRNA from 1 species
UGGGAACGCGAAGAACCUUACCUAGACUUGACAUCCCCUGAAUUACCUGUAAUGAGGGAAGUCCCUUCGGGGACAGGGAGACAGGUGGUGCAUGGUUGUCGUCAGUUCGUGUCGUGAGAUGUUGGGUUAAGUCCCGCAACGAGCGCAACCCUUAUCCUUAGUUGCUACCAUUAAGUUGAGCACUCUAAAGAGACUGCCCGGGUUAACCGGGAGGAAGGUGGGGAUGACGUCAAAUCAUCAUGCCCCUUAUGUCUAGGGCCACACACGUGCUACGAUGGUGAGUACAACGAGAUGCGAACCCGCGAGGGGGAGCUAAACUCAAAAACUCAUCUCAGUUCGGAUUGCAGGCUGCAACUCGCCUGCAUGAAGCUGGAGUUGCUAGUAAUCGCGAAUCAGAAUGUCGCGGUGAAUACGUUCCCGGGUCUUGUACACACCG